rnacentral:rRNA from 1 species
AUGCCACAUGCCCUACAGACUUCUUUAGUUCUCCAGCAUAAGAUAUGUAGACCCUUGUGCAGAAUUCUGAUGGGAAUUAUAUCUCUGGUUGGCACGUUCAUGAGGGGUGAUGAGGACCCAUAUCCACAUUUAAGGCCAACCGAUCAAUUGAGAAAGGUCGGCAUAUCAGAUUUUCCGGUCUUUGCGGUCCGAUGGAUAGACAAAUCAAUUGACCCUAGCGUCACAAACCACAAGGGUCUCUCUGCAAUCUAUCCACAGAUGACAGAUGUACGUAUCAGGAUAGGGACUUUUGAACUAACAAGUUGGGUCAGACAAGUUUUCUUUUAA